AGAUAUCAUAUAUUAGGGCAUGACAUGCGAACAAUUAUAUUAAACUGAUUUGAAUACAUUUAUUACUUUUUUUGCUAAUAUUUAUGUUUUGAAUAUUUCUUUGCUAAAUUGGAGUAUCAGCAACAUUAAAAAUACUUACCACUUGCAUUUUAUCUUCCCUGGCAUCCCCAAAGCUAUACAUGUACAUGUUGUCUUUUAAACAUUUGUGUGGAAAUGAAAACUGCUCUCUCAAGCCACCAACCCUGCAAGACGGAGGUAACAGAUUGCACAAACACAUUGAAACAUUUUCAGCUGUUCACUAACACUGUUACAUUUUCUGGAAUUUCCAAUUGAAUGGGAAAAUACGUAAGUAAGAUAGAGAAAAACUAUCGACAUUCUAAACAUAUUGUAAUAUUAACUUGCUAGAAUAGGAGAGACGAAUGCCCAAUUUUUCAAGAAGAAGAAAACGAAAAGCGCAGUUUAUUUUGGUUUUUACAGAGAGUAAACAAAAAAGAUUAACAACGAGAAAAAGAAAUCAUUUGGAGCGUUUGGAUGCGUAUAACAAAGACGCACCAUUCAAUUAGCCGCAUCACCGGUGACUUGGAGGACGAGCAUUACAUGGAGCUCGCUAUUAGUUUAAGUAAAUAUUUCUUUAUUUUGAUGUUAUUAUUAAAUAAAGCGAAAUAAUAAAAAAACUGAAUUUUAUUUAAAAG